GAUGAAUGCUGGCGGCGUGCCUAACACAUGCAAGUCGAGCGGCAGCGAGUUUUACACUGAAUUCUGGAAGCUUCUGGGUAAUAUAGAAGAUUUAUUCAAGAAUUUUGUGUAAAAUGUCGGCGAGCGGCGGACGGCUGAGUAACGCGUAGGAAUUUGCCCCAAAGUGAGGAAUAACUGCCCGAAAGGGUAGCUAAUGCCGCAUAUGGUCUUCGGAUUAAAGCCUUCGGGCGCUUUGGGAGAAGCCUGCGUUGGAUUAGGUAGUUGGUAGGGUAAUGGCCUACCAAGCCGACGAUCCAUAGCUGGUCUGAGAGGAUGAUCAGCCAGACUGGAACUGAGACACGGUCCAGACUCCUACGGGAGGCAGCAGUGAGGAAUCUUCCACAAUGGGCGAAAGCCUGAUGGAGCAACGCCGCGUGAAGGAUGAAGGCCUUCGGGUUGUAAACUUCUUUUAUGAGUGAAGAAUAUGACGGUAACUCAUGAAUAAGCACCGGCUAACUACGUGCCAGCAGCCGCGGUCAUACGUAGGGUGCAAGCAUUAUCCGGAGUGACUGGGCGUAAAGAGUUGCGUAGGCGGUUUAAUAAGUGAAUAGUGAAACCUGGUGGCUCAACCAUACAGACUAUUAUUCAAACUGUUAAACUCGAGAAUGGUAGAGGUAACUGGAAUUUCUAGUGUAGGAGUGAAAUCCGUAGAUAUUAGAAGGAACACCGAUGGCGUAUGCAGGUUACUGGGCCAUUUCUGACGCUGAGGCACGAAAGCGUGGGGAGCGAACCGG
rnacentral:rRNA from 1 species